AUACCUAUCUGACAGGGAGGCAUUCUGAUCAUGAAGGUGUUUUUUGAGAGUGAGCCUCAUCACUAGCACUUCAGGUAGACUGAUUUCUGCAACUUCCCCAGAUCAGGGAACUUGACAGUAAAACUUGUGAUGUGGGAAACUGUUUUUGUUCUUUUUCCUG